AUGAUGAGGAGAUUAUUGAGGGGCUCAUCGAGCCAAAGCUCGAAGGAAAAGGCACCGAAGCCUAAGUAUAAUUUGCCGCGCACCGCGGAGGUUCGGGCGUGUGAAUGGCCUUCCGAGGAUUUCUUGAGAGCACCCGGGAUUUAUGAAGAUUUUCAUGAGUUGGAUCAUAAUGAAGGCCUCACCGCAUUCCUCCACGACCAAUCCGAUCAGUAUCUCUUACUCACAAAUACCUUUGUGCAAAACUUUCAUUUUCAUUCUAGGAGCUCACCACCUACGGUGGAGUUUCAUUUAUAUGAUGAGCAUAAGGAGAUGUUACUUUAUGAUUUUUGUCGGAUUUGUUUAGUACCUUUUGAGGGCAAGACAGAAGAACCACACCAUGAUGAUGUGGAGGGAUUUAUUAAUACUAUCACAGUAGGGGAAACUAGGAAGGUUUCCGAUGUACGAAUCACUAGCAUACAUUUUUCAUGUCUUACGUUACUUUGCAUUAUUUGCUAG
rnacentral:rRNA from 1 species